GACAGAGGCCCCAAGCGUUAGGCGGAAUCACUGGGCUUAAAGCGUGUGUAGGCGGACGCCUAAGUGUCUUGUGAAAUCCCACGGCUCACCCGUGGAACUGCUGGGCAUACUGGGCGUCUUGGGCCAACUAGGGGCAGCCGGAACAAGCGGUGGAGCGGUGAAAUGCGUAGAUAUCAAGAGGAACACCUGAGGUGAAGACGGGUUGCUGGGCUGACACUGACGCUGAGGCGCGAAAGCUAGGGUAGCAAACGGG
rnacentral:rRNA from 1 species